rnacentral:misc_RNA from 1 species
UGCAGCCAGAUGAACUCUGUCAGAUGCAUUGUAAUUUUUUUUUUUCAGGGCAAAUUGUUACUGAAACCAGAGAUCACAAAACAAAAUAAGGAUUUACAAAACAAUUUAAUGGAAGGGGGCUUCCUCAACUCUAUUUGACAGAAAUCAUAUGUUAAUUGGAAAAUGAGAAAAGAAGAGUUAAGCCCUGUUCACAAGUUUUGAAGAAGCAAAAUCCAAGCAUAUAAACCAGAAUUAAAUGAGACGCUAAAACAAUAGCUUUAAUCAGUACAGAAAAUCUUCCUCUGCAUAUAUAUAUAUAUAGAUCGAGUG